rnacentral:rRNA from 1 species
UGUUCCCGGGCCUUGUACACACCGCCCGUCACACCACGAAAGUUGGCAAUACCCGAAGCCGGUGGCCUAACCCGUAAGGGAGGGAGCCGUCGAAGGUAGGGUCAAUGAUUGGGGUG